GGAUGGUCUGGGUUCUGCGUCCUCCUGGGAGGGACACGCCAAAAGGGCGCUGGAGGGAGUGAGCAGCCGUCCCAAGAUGGAAGCCCCCUGUGCGCCUUUGACUCCUUUGACCGAAGAGACGGGGAGGAGAUCCAGACUUGAGUCACAGUCCCAGAAGUCACAGCCCUCACACGGUGGUCACACCUGAAUCAGGUCACACACCCACAUCCUUGUAGUUAGAGCUGGUGUCUCUGGGAAGGAUCCUGGCCUCGCCCCGUGCAGAAGACCCAUUCCAAAGAGUCAGCCAGUGCUUCCUGAGUCUGCACCAAAAGCUCAUGGAGGAAGCGGCAGUGGCAGCAUGAGGGUGGUCCCACGCGGGCUUAGGGACCUCCAGCACCCAACCAAGGCUGGAGCAGUGCCUGCCGCUCCACCUCCUGGCAGCUGAGACCCUGGGGAGCCGCACCGCACAGCCUGGGGCCGGCCAGCCCUCUGGAAGACUUACCUGGGUUUAGGUUUGCCUUCCUGGGUCCACUGGGUUUUUCCCAGGAAUGUCCUCCAGAGACUUCC
rnacentral:lncRNA from 1 species